AUGCACUGACGUACCGAAAGGGCGGGGCCAGAGGUCGGACGGGUUUCGGGAAGCCCGUGGCUCUAAUUAGGCUCACGCUCUAGCCUUUGGCGGCAGCUCUAUGAGAGAAGAAAUGAGGACUGAAUCACAAAAUAUUUGAAGGAAGAAUAGUUCAAGAGGAAAUGGAAGACAGAGAAAGCUGUGUUUGUAUGGUGUUGAUGAGAUCUUCAGAAAAUGAGAGCUCUUCAGAUACUUGAAAACAGCUCACCUGUCUCCUCAUGGUCUUCUGUUCCCAAGGCUAGAAACAUGCACUGUAAUGCCUCCAAAGGUUUAUUCUGCCUACGUUUUUCUUUCUAGGCCCCUUAUUAUUUUGAUUGCUUUUCUUUCAAUACACUCCAGUUUGUCAGUGUCAGUCCUAAAAAGUGAUACCGAGAGCUUGACACAAUGCUCUAGGUACAGCCCAGCCAAUGCAAGAGAGAGAGAAACAAUGUCUUAUGGUCAAUACCAAAAUGUAUUGUGUAUUAGGCAGGAAUGCACCGUAUUCCUACUACUGUGGGAGAUACGUAGCAAGUUUUGCCUGUUUUAUGCUGGUAUUUUACCUUCAAUAAGAUAGACUUGAAAUGUGACAAAGAGCAUUACAGUAUCUUUCAGAAGCCCCUCAGUGGUUCUCUUCUGUACAGACAACAUCAUACUUUCUCUGAGCAUAAUUUCUAUUAAUAAAGUCUGGAUUGGCAUAACCUGAACUGUGAUUGGUUCCACACU